rnacentral:rRNA from 1 species
UACGAAGGGGGCUAGCGUUGCUCGGAAUCACUGGGCGUAAAGCGCACGUAGGCGGACUCUUAAGCCGGUGGUGAAAUCCUGGAGCUCAACUCCAGAACUGCCUUCGAUACUGGGAGUCUCGAGUCCGGGAGAGGUGAGUGGAACUGCGAGUGUAGAGGUGAAAUUCGUAGAUAUUCGCAAGAACACCAGUGGCGAAGGCGGCUCACUGGCCCGGUACUGACGCUGAGGUGCGAAAGCGUGGGGAGCAAACAGGG